rnacentral:rRNA from 1 species
GGAUUAGAUACCCUGGUAGUCCACGCUGUAAACGAUGAAUACUAGCUGUUGGGUGGGUCUUUUAUAAGGUCCAUUUAGUGGCGCAGCAAACGCGAUAAGUAUUCCGCCUGGGGAGUACGGCCGCAAGGCUAAAACUCAAAGGAAUUGACGGGGGCCCGCACAAGCGGUGGAGCAUGUGGUUUAAUUCGAUGCAACGCGAAGAACCUUACCUACCCUUGACAUACCGAGAAGGUCUGAGAGAUCGGACUGUGCCGCAAGGAACUUGGAUACAGGUGCUGCAUGGCUGUCGUCAGCUCGUGCCG